rnacentral:rRNA from 1 species
CAAUAGCGUAUAUUUAAGUUGUUGCAGUUAAAAAGCUCGUAGUUGGAGUUCGGUUGAGAACGGCCGGUCCGCCGUUUGGUGUGCACUGGCUGGUUUCAACUUCCUGUAGAGGACGUGCUCUGGCUUCACGGCUGGACGCGGAGUCUACGUGGUUACUUUGAAAAAAUUAGAGUGUUCAAAGCGGGCUUACGCUUGAAUAUUUCAGCAUGGAAUAACACUAUAGGACUCCUGUCCUAUUUCGUUGGUCUCGGGACGGGAGUAAUGAUUAAGAGGAACAGUUGGGGGCAUUCGUAUUUCAUUGUCAGAGGUGAAAUUCUUGGAUUUAUGAAAGACGAACUUCUGCGAAAGCAUUUGCCAAGGAUGUUUUCAUUA